GCACAGACAGCGACCUCAUCACACAGCAUCUUCUCUCGAGCAGCAGCUCUCGGAGCACCACACACCUAGCCACGAUGAUCAAGGUUCUGAUCCUCCUCGCCAUGCUGGCCUUGUUCGCUGUCUCCUACACUGUGGCAGCGCCACAGUACUACGUCGCAGACAGCCUGUACUACGGCUACCCCUACGCCGGCUACUACGGCGCCUACUACCCGCACUACUACUACGGGCGCUAAGCAUAAACCACAACCAGCGCAGCGACAGUUCACGGUAAUCUCUUCGAAAGAAACCUCACCUCGCUAACGCAUUCCACUGUCCACUGCAACUGGCACCUGUGAAGCACUGCCUCGUCAUCCCAGCAUGUUGAACUUGGAGCCGCAAUUGCUCACUGAGCUGUCGCCCUGCGUUCCCCGAGAAACCAAUGAUGUCCGCUGUCCUAACACCGGGCUUUCUUCCAUCUGGUGACAUGGUUGGGAAAUAAAAAUCAUUCUA
rnacentral:lncRNA from 1 species